rnacentral:rRNA from 1 species
CCUACGGGGUGCUGCAGUGAGGAAUAUUGGUCAAUGGCCGCAGGGCUGAACCAGCCAAGUCGCGUGAGGGAUGACGGUCCUAUGGAUUGUAAACCUCUUUUGUCAGGGAGCAAAGGGCGCCACGUGUGGCGCUUUGCGAGUACCUGAAGAAAAAGCAUCGGCUAACUCCGUGCCAGCAGCCGCGGUAAUACGGAGGAUGCGAGCGUUAUCCGGAUUUAUUGGGUUUAAAGGGUGCGCAGGCGGAAUGUCAAGUCAGCGGUAAAAUUUCGGGGCUCAACCCCGUCGUGCCGUUGAAACUGGCGUUCUUGAGUGAGCGAGAAGUAUGCGGAAUGCGUGGUGUAGCGGUGAAAUGCAUAGAUAUCACGCAGAACUACGAUUGCGAAGGCAGCAUACCGGCGCUCAACUGACGCUCAUGCACGAAAGCGUGGGUAUCGAACAGGAUUAGAUACCCGAGUAGUC